UACGUAGGGGGCUAGCGUUGUCCGGAAUCAUUGGGCGUAAAGCGCGUGUAGGCGGCCCGGUAAGUCCGCUGUGAAAGUCCAGGGCUCAACCCUGGGAUGCCGGUGGAUACUGUCGGGCUCGAGUCCGGAAGAGGAGUGUGGAAUUCCUGGUGUAGCGGUGAAAUGCGCAGAUAUCAGGAGGAACACCAAUGGCGAAGGCAGCACUCUGGGACGUGACUGACGCUGAGACGCGAAAGCGUGGGGAGCGAACAGG
rnacentral:rRNA from 1 species